rnacentral:rRNA from 1 species
GCCCCACCGUAAAAUAUUAACCUACACCAAUCAACGCCAGGAUAUUACGAGCCCUAGCUUAAAACCCAAAGGACUUGACGGUGUCCCACCCAACUAGAGGAGCCUGUUCUAUAAUCGAUAACCCCCGAUUCACCCAACCCCACUUUGCCAAUCAGUCUGUAUACCUCCGUCGUAAGCUUACCAUAUGAAUGCUUACAGUAAGUUUAAAGAUCACAACACCAAUACGUCAGGUCAAGGUGCAACUUAUGGUGGGGCAAGCAAUGGGCUACAAUUUCUACAUUAGAACAAACGAAAUACUGCAUGAAACACAGUUACGAAGGCGGAUUUAGUAGUAAAAAGAAAAUAAUGUGUUCUUUUUAACAAGGCCCUGGGACGUGUACACACCGCCCGUCACCCUCUUCAAUAGUGUCUAAUCUGUUCAUAACAACCCCUCACGUCUUAGAAGAGGCAAGUCGUAACAUGGUAAGUGUACCGGAAGGUGCACUUGGAUUAA